UGAAGUCAGCAUGUACUUCCUAGUACAAGAACAUGAUCUGCUGAUGAAUCUGUAACCAGCACCCGGUCAGAGCAGCAACUUUCAUCAAUAGAUGGCAAUUGUGUGACAAGGGACCCACGAGGCACGCUAACAUACCAGAGGCAUGGACUGGUGCGAGGUUUACAACUUCACGGAUUUUCAAGGGCCAGCAAAAGCUCACAGGACACCACCAGAACCUCUCUUUCCCGGGCACGGGCCCCUCUUUCAGGGCAAACCCAUUCCAGGGCACCCUGCCCUUCACAAAGAAAAGAGAGCUCUCCCUGGGGCUCCCGCCAGCUUCUCCAGGACCGU